GAUGAACGCUGGCGGCGUGCUUAACACAUGCAAGUCGAACGAAGCACCUGAAGUUGAUUUCUUCGGAUUGAUUCUUCUGGUGACUGAGUGGCGGACGGGUGAGUAACGCGUGGGUAACCUGCCUCAUACAGGGGGAUAACAGUUAGAAAUGACUGCUAAUACCGCAUAAGCGCACAGUACCGCAUGGUACGGUGUGAAAAACUCCGGUGGUAUGAGAUGGACCCCG
rnacentral:rRNA from 1 species